ACACUGGGCGGCACUCUGCCCUCGGGACCCAAGAGCCUCAAGAUCAAGGGCCAAGCCUCCCCUCACGAUGGUUCAAGAGGACUGAAGCGGCCCUCUCCAGCCAGCCCGCCUGUCACAGAUAACCAUCACGGGGCUGGAGCCAAGGGUGCAACUGGAUGUGGCAGGUCAAGCUACGACAUGCAGCGCCAGUUCAA